rnacentral:siRNA from 1 species
CGGGUCCUAAACUUCUAAACCCA